CCUACGGGUGGCAGCAGUGAGGAAUAUUGGUCAAUGGCCGCAAGUCUGAACCAGCCAUGCCGCGUGCAGGAAGACUGCUCUAUGGGUUGUAAACUUCUUUUGUCCGGGUGUAAACUCACCUACGUGUAGCUGUCUGAAAGUAUCGUACGAAUAAGCAUCGGCUAACUCCGUGCCAGCAGCCGCGGUAAUGCGGAGGAUUCAAGCGUUAUCCGGAUUUAUUGGGUUUAAAGGGUGCGUAGGCGGGUGAGAAAGUUAGCGGGAAAAUCGUGGAGCUCAACUCCAUCCAGCCGUUGAAACGGAUGAGCUAGAGUGGGCGAGAAGUAUGCGGAAUGCGUGGUGGAGCGGUGAAAUGCAGAGAGAUCACGCAGAACUCCGAUUGCGAAGGCAGCAUACCAGCGCCCGACUGACGCUGAAGCACGAAAGCGUGGGUAUCGAACAGGAUUAGAUACCCCGGUAGUC
rnacentral:rRNA from 1 species